rnacentral:tRNA from 1 species
GCCGCUGUGGCGAAAUCGGCAGACGCAAGGGACUUAAAAUCCCUCGGUGGCAACACCAUACCGGUUCAAGUCCGGUCAGCGGCACCA